GGAAGUUUGAUCAAACUUAACGCUGGGGUCUGCCAAGUGUGGUCUGCGCAAUCGCUUUAGACGCAGCUGACACAAUUGUCCUCUAUCAAAGGUUAAUCUUGAUCCGGGUAUUUCUAGGCAACUGCUGAGGACGAAAAUACACGCAGCUAUUUCCUGUAACUGACGAUUGAGCAAUCGAGUGUAAUCGUUGGAGGCUUGAUGAGUUUAGACUCUUUCUCGUAGAUGUUAAAACGAUCAGAUCGUAACGGAAGGAUAUACAAGCUGUGUUACCAGAAUGGUUGAAUACUACAUUUUCAUCAUCGUACUAAUCUUCAUAAAAAUUCUCUUUUGGAUUGUAUUCUGCUCCGUUAGAGCUCAGCCAAAGGAGAAGCGAUGGGUGCAUUCAUCGUCACGGCCAGGAAGGAAUAAUGAUCGGACGCCCAUUAUUGACUGCGAAGUCCCACCGGAUGUGUCAAGUCUGAACGGAUCGCCUAGCAACCCGGACGCCUCGUCACACAACCAGUCUCCGACGUACGGACGAGCUGAUCGUGAUUUGCAUAAUUCAAACUCAUACUCAUAUCCUGUCUAAGAUGGAGCCAAACCAGCUUGCACCUUCAAUUACUUCAGAUGUCUCAGUUAUAAUUUGUUCAUAUAUAAUUUGAGUGAGUGAGUGAGUUUAGUUUUACGCCGCACUCAGCAACAUUCCAGCUAUAUGGCGGC